CGAAUACAUUAGCAUGGGAUAAUGGAAUAGGACCCUGUCCUCCUAUUUUCAGUUGGUUUUGGCAGCGCGAGGACUAGGGUAAUGAUUAAUAGGGAUAGUUGGGGGCAUUAAUAUUUAAUUGUCAGAGGUGAAAUUCUUGGAUUUAUGAAAGAUUAACUUCUGCGAAAGCAUCUGCCAAGGAUGUUUUCAUUAAUCAAGAACGAAAGUUAGGGGAUCGAAGACGAUCAGAUACCGUCGUAGUCUUAACCAUAAACGAUGCCGACCAGCGAUUAGGAGACGUUGAAUACAAAACACCACCAUCGGCGCGGUCGUCCUUGGCGUGUCUCGGCUUCACGGCUGGGGCGCGCGAGGGCGGUUUAGCCCGGUGGCACCGGUGA
rnacentral:rRNA from 1 species